rnacentral:rRNA from 1 species
AUUGAACGCUGGCGGCAUGCCUUACACAUGCAAGUCGAACGGCAGCACGGGAGCAAUCCUGGUGGCGAGUGGCGAACGGGUGAGUAAUAUAUCGGAACGUGCCCAGUCGUGGGGGAUAACGUAGCGAAAGCUACGCUAAUACCGCAUACGAUCUAUGGAUGAAAGCGGGGGAUCGCAAGACCUCGCGCGAUUGGAGCGGCCGAUAUCAGAUUUAGGUAGUUGGUGGGGUAAAAGCCUACCAAGCCUUCGAUCUGUAGCUGGUCUGAGAGGACGACCAGCCACACUGGAACUGAGACACGGUCCAGACUCCUACGGGAGGCAGCAGUGGGGAAUUUUGGACAAUGGGCGCAAGCCUGAUCCAGCAAUGCCGCGUGCAGGAUGAAGGCCUGGUUGUAACGUA